rnacentral:misc_RNA from 1 species
CAAAUUUGAAUUAAAUUAAAUAAGACAAAAAAAAAAAAAAACAACUACGCAAACUAAACUGAAAGGCAAACAAGGUGUGAAGACAUUGGUGGAUUGAGCAGAGAUAUCGAUUACUGUUUGGUGGCAUGGUUUCGGAGGAGAACUGGAACAGCGAUACCAUGUCCGAUUCGGACAUGAUCGACUCCAAGAACGAUGUGUGCGGCGGCGCCUCCAGCAGCAGUGGCAGCUCCAUUUCCCCGCGCACACCGCCCAACUGUGCGCGGUGCCGCAAUCACGGCCUCAAGAUAACGCUCAAGGGGCACAAACGCUAUUGCAAAUUUCGUUAUUGUACGUGCGAAAAGUGCCGAUUGACCGCCGAUCGUCAGCGUGUGAUGGCCUUGCAGACGGCGCUGCGACGCGCUCAGGCCCAGGAUGAGCAGCGUUCGUUGCACAUACAUGAGGUGCCCCCGGCAUCGGGUACGACGACGCCAACAUCGCUGCUUGGCGGCCAUCAUGGCCAUCACGGGCAUCAUGGGCAUCAUCAUCAUCAUGUGCAUGGCCCCGCCCAUGGCCACCCACAUGCAGCACAUUCGCAUCAUAGUCAAAGUCAUGGCCAUCACGCACAUGUGCUGCAUCAUCAGCAGGCAGCGGCUGUGGCAGCCGCAGCCGCAGCAGCGGCAGCAUCAGUAACAGCACCACCACAAGCACCACAUCAACAAACGCAGACACAACAGACGCAGCAACAGUCGCAGCAAGCGCAUUUAGGGCACGCCCAUUCGCACAGUCAUACACAUGUGCAUCACGCACAAAUGGCUGCCGCUGCAGCGGCCACAGUAGUGCAACAGCAACAGCAACACCACCAUCAGCAACAGCACCACAACAAUCAACAGACACAGCAGCAGCAGCAGCAGCAAACUCAUCAGGCUGCCUUAAGAUCUCCAUCGCACAGUGAUCCGGGUGCAGCUAGCAGCAGCUCAGCUGGUGGCGCCAGUUCCAGCAACAAUGUGGCACCUGCCACAAGCAGCGGUGCAACAGCAACUGCUGGUGGUGGUGGCGGUGUUACUAGUAGGGCCAGUGGUGCUGGCGGUGCUGGCAUCAGCGUAAUUACCAGCGUCGAUCAUCACAUGUCAACGGUGCCAACACCCGCCCAAUCCCUGGAGGGCUCCUGCGACUCAUCGUCGCCCUCACCAUCAUCCACAUCUGGCAACGCCGUGCUGCCCAUCUCCGUGUCAAGCACUCGCAAGAAUGUGCCACUCGGCCAAGAUGUUUUCCUAGACUAUUGUCAAAAGCUGUUAGAGAAAUUUCGUUAUCCGUGGGAACUGAUGCCGCUAAUGUAUGUGAUAUUAAAAGAUGCUGGCGCAGACAUUGAUGAGGCUUCACGUCGCAUCGAAGAGGCGCGUGUAGAUAUAAACCGAAUCGUGGCGCAAAUCUAUUACAACUACUACACCCCGAUGGCAAUUGGGCUGCACACGACAACGGCGCCCGUCUUCCUGACCUACCCCAACAUUGAGAGGUACAGCACCAAUUACACGCACCUGCCACUGCCCGAACCGCUCGCACUCAGCCGGACACCGCCCAGUCCGUCAUCAGCGGUGGCUGUCACAUCUCCCGCGUCCAAUGCUCAGCAGAAGCAUUCGCGACCCGCCAGCAGCAAUGGCACCGUCCAUUCCGCCGCCCAUUCGCCCACGCUGGUCACGACAGUGGGAACAAUGUCGACGGCCGGCAUUCAUCAUCAAUAUCAGCAUCCCCAUCAUCAGCAGCAGCAGCUGGAGCAGGAGCAGCGUUCACGUUCUGGGACACCGACAACGCCUCCGCCGGCGCACAGGAGCAGCAAUGGCGGCUAUCAUCAUCACCAUCAUCAUCAUCAUCAUGGCCAGCAUCUGGUCAGCUCAACGUCAGCGGCGGCCGUUGCAGCGACUGCAGCAGCCACGUAGCAGCAGUAUCGCAAUGUUGCCGCCGCUGCUGCGGCAGCUGCUGCAGCUGUACUCUUUGUCGAUAAUUGAAAAG